AUACGAGGGGUGUAAGCGUUAUUCGGAAUUACUGGGCGUAAAGGGUGCGUAGACGGCAUAUUAAGUCUGUUGUUAAAUUUUCCGGCUUAACCGGAAAGCUGCGGUAGAAACUGAUGUGCUAGAGAAUGAGAGAGAGAAGUGGAAUUCCCGGAGUAGCGGUAAAAUGCGUGGAUCUCGGGAGGAACACCAAUGGCGAAGGCAGCUUCUUGGCUCAUUUCUGACGUUGAGGCACGAAAGCGUGGGGAGCAAACAGGAUUAGAAACCCCAGUAGUCC
rnacentral:rRNA from 1 species